UGCGGCCGCAGCAGUCAGAUUAUAAUCGAUGGUUACUGCUUUAUCUCCUAUGAUUGAUGAAUCUGGCCUCUCGAUAUGGCAAAAUUAUCUAAUCGGUAUCAUCACCUAGGGUGUUGAAGAACGAUUGUUGGCUGUUCAGAGGAUUUCGGAAGACAAUUUCGUCUCAGGGAAACGAGUCUUCAUCUUAUCAGGCUCAUUUGACUCAAAGAACCACUUACACUACUAAAAAAGUGGUUGCUAGCCAUCCUACGUCGCCCGGGUAGUUAGGGUGAUCUUGAUGUGAAGUGGGUUGUUGUUCAUGGCAAGCAUGCUUCAGAAGAAAACAAAUUGGAGACUUGGGUGGAAUAUAUGUCAAGGCAUCAUAAGAAGACUCGGCAUCAUAAGAAGACUCUUUGUUGCAGCAGUAGUUCAAGCAUUAUGUAAUAGUUCAAGCAUUAUGUAAUGGUGCAAUUCAAAAAGCAGAUGAAGUUUCUGCCACACUUUCUUGUGCAAGCCAGUGUUUUUUUAGCUUUAGUUGAAUAACAAUCACAUAAAUGAAUCUUGAAGAUUAUUGAUUAAAGUUUUA